rnacentral:rRNA from 1 species
UACGAAGGGGGCGCGCGUUGUUCGGAUUUACUGGGCGUAAAGGGCGCGCAGGCGGCUCAUUUUGUCAGGCGUGAAAGCCCCGGGCUUAACCUGGGAACUGCGUUUGAUACGGAUGGGCUAGAGUUCGGGAGAGGAGAGUGGAAUUCCCAGUGUAGAGGUGAAAUUCGUAGAUAUUGGGAAGAACACCGGUGGCGAAGGCGGCUCUCUGGACCGAGACUGACGCUGAGGCGCGAAAGCGUGGGGAGCAAACAGG